GAAGCAGGUUUUGUGUGUAUCGGUAUUAUGUAAACCAUGUAUUGAUGCCGAAAGAAUGGCCUGCUAUAUUAAAAUGGGUAGGUGAGCAGUCAGAUUUUAAAGGUUAUUGAAAUAUGCUGACAAUCACUUUCCCUACAUUA